rnacentral:rRNA from 1 species
CCCUUAGACGUUCUGGGCCGCACGCGCGCUACACUGACACAGGCAACGAGCUUUCCUUUACCGAAAGGUAUGGGUAAUCUUUUGAAACUGUGUCGUGCUGGGGAUAGAUCCUUGCAAUUUUUGAUCUUAAACGAGGAAUUCCUAAUAAGCGCGAGUCAUCAACUCGCGUUGAUUACGUCCCUGCCCUUUGUACACACCGCCCGUCGCUACUACCGAUUGAAUGGCUUAGUGAGGCCUCAGGAUCCGCGCUUAAUGUGUGGAGAAUUUGGACAAACUACGUCAUUUAGAGGAAGUAAAAGUCGUAACA